rnacentral:rRNA from 1 species
CCUACGGGAGGCAGCAGUAGGGAAUCUUCCGCAAUGGACGAAAGUCUGACGGAGCAACGCCGCGUGAGUGAUGAAGGUUUUCGGAUCGUAAAACUCUGUUGUUAGGGAAGAACAAGUAUCGUUCGAAUAGGGCGGUACCUUGACGGUACCUAACCAGAAAGCCACGGCUAACUACGUGCCAGCAGCCGCGGUAAUACGUAGGUGCCAGCAGCCGCGGUAAUACGUAGGUCCAGCAGCCGCGGUAAU